rnacentral:misc_RNA from 1 species
ACGUGUUCGUUCGGCCGCUCGGGUCGGCCCUGCACCGGCGGAGACGCCGUGCUGCGGGCUCCCGGGCGCGCCUUCCAAACCAAACCCCUGUGAACCUUUGGGAGGGCCGAGCCCCCGCUCCGGCGGGCGCGACGCCGUCCCCUUACAAACUCUUCGUAUCUUAGAAUGACCGCGGACCUCGUCCGCCUAAACACAUAA